GAUGAACGCUGGCGGCGUGCCUAAUACAUGCAAGUCGAGCGAAUGGAUUAAGAGCUUGCUCUUAUGAAGUUAGCGGCGGACGGGUGAGUAACACGUGGGUAACCUGCCCAUAAGACUGGGAUAACUCCGGGAAACCGGGGCUAAUACCGGAUAACAUUUUGAACCGCAUGGUUCGAAAUUGAAAGGCGGCUUCGGCUGUCACUUAUGGAUGGACCCGCGUCGCAUUAGCUAGUUGGUGAGGUAACGGCUCACCAAGGCAACGAUGCGUAGCCGAGCUGAGAGGGUGAUCGGCCACCCUGAGACUGAGACACGGCCCAGACUCCUACGGGAGGCAGCAGUAGGGAAUCUUCCGCAAUGGACGAAAGUCUGACGGAGCAACGCCGCGUGAGUGAUGAAGGCUUUCGGGUCGUAAAACUCUGUUGUUAGGGAAGAACAAGUGCUAGUUGAAUAAGCUGGCACCUUGACGGUACCUAACCAGAAAGCCACGGCUAACUACGUGCCAGCCGCCGCGGUAA
rnacentral:rRNA from 1 species